rnacentral:misc_RNA from 1 species
GGCAUUUGGUAAAAAUUGGGAGAAUCAGAGAUUCACUUCACUUUGGCAAAUGGCGAAUCAGAUUCGUCUUGAAGCAGUACCUCUUCUAGUAGUCGUACUUAUUGGUGCCCAUGUCCUCGCUUUGGUGUACUGGAUUUAUCGGCUAGCAAAUCAGAAGCAACCCAUGAGGCUUAAAAAGCAAUAGCAUUCACUUCGUUUUUUCGGUUUUUGCUCUUUUUUAUCCUGUUAAAUUUUAUGUUUGGGGACAUUGAAAUGGUUGACAAUUUCAGUUGAAUAGAGAAAUUGGGUUUGUGUAUUUUAU